rnacentral:rRNA from 1 species
GACGUAGGGCGCGAGCGUUGUCCGGAUUUAUUGGGCGUAAAGAGCUCGUAGGCGGCUUGUCGCGUCGACCGUGAAAAACUCACAGCUCAACUGUGAGCUUGCGGUCGAUACGGGGCAGGCUCGAGUUCGGUAGGGGGAGACUGGAAUUCCUGGUGUAGCGGUGAAAAUGCGCAGAUAUCAGGGAGGGAAACACCCGGUGGCGAAAGGGCGGGUUUCUCUGGGGCAUUUAAACUGACGCUGAGGGAGCGAAA